GGAGUUGUAGCUCAGUGGUAGAGCACAUGCCAAGUAUGUAUGAGGCACUGCGUUCAAUACUCAGCACCA
rnacentral:tRNA from 1 species